AUGAGCGCUGCGGGCGGAUCGCGGCUCAAGAGGCUGGGCCCGGCCGUGGCGCCCCUCGCCCGUUUUCGGAGGAGGGCAACGACCGGCCCAAGGUCACGGGGCGGCCGCGGGAUUGGAACCCCCAUGGCCCGGGCCUCCCAGGCCCGUGCGCUCCGCCCCGGGCCCUCCCGCCCUUGCCCGUCCUUCCCGGAGGCCCGCCCGGAGGCGGCGGCGGCGGCGGCGGCGGCCACGCAGCCGCUUACCACGUGUGGCGAGCGGCCACCACGCGCUCCCUCCGCCGGGGCCUCCCGCCGCUCCGCGCCAACGGCGGCGGCUCCUCGGCGGGCGGGGGCGCGGCACGGACGGCCCCCCUCCCAACAGUCCCCAACCGCCGCCCCGCCGCGGGGAAGGACGGACGGACGGAAAGGAGGAGGGGACCCGAGGCGGCCAUGGGGCCCGUCCCCGCGGCCCGCUCCAGCCGCGGAAAGGCGGGGCGAGGACCGGCAGCGCCCGCAUCUCCCCCCAACCCCCGGCCCGGCCCGGCCUGGCCCGGAACCUCGGCCCCCGAUCCCUCAUCCUCGGCCUGGCCCGGCCCGGCCCGGCCCGGCCCGGCCCGGCCCGGCCCGGCCCGGCGCUCUCCCGCCAGCGGCCUCCUCCUCCUCCUCCUCCUCCUCCUCCCCGCCCUCUCUCCCUCCCUCCUUCCCUCCCUCGCUCCCUCCCGCCGUUACCGGUGUCCGAGGCCCGGGGCUGAGGCCGGGGCGGCGCAGUGACUCAGGACGGCUGAGGCGGGAGGAGGAGGAGGAGGAGGAGGAGACGAUGGAGGCGUCGUCGUCAGCAGCGGCGGCGGCGGCGCCCCUCGCAGAUGGCGCUAAAAAGACCCGAGCUCCCGCCGCUCGCGCUCAUAUACAAUUAGCGUCAGCACGUCGCCGCCCGCCCGUCGCCACGGCAACGCGGAGGAGGCGGGCGCUGGAGGCCGGGUUGCCGGGCAACGGCGCCUGCGCGCGCUCUGCCGUCCUCCCCCCGCCGCCGCCGCCGCCGCCACCGCCCUCUCUCCCCCACUCCCCCUUCAUUCAUUCAUUCAUUCAUUCGUUCGUUCGUUCGUUCGUUCGUUCGUCAAUCAUUCAGUCAUUCAUUCAGUCAUCCAGUCAUUCAUUCACUCAUCCAGUCAUUCAUUCAGUCAUUCAUUCACUCAGUCACUCAGUCAUUCAGUCAUUCAUUAGAGAAGCAGCGUGGCUCCGUGGAAAGAGCCCGAGCUUGGGAGGCAGAGGUCUGGGUUCGAAUCCCAGCUCUGCCACUGGUCAGCUGUGUGACUGCGGGCAAGUCACUUCUCUGGGCCUCAGUUCCCUCAUCUGUAAAAUGGGGAUGAAGACUGGGAGCCCCACGUGGGACAACCUGAUUCCCCUGUGUUUACCCCAGCGCUUAGAACAGUGCUCUGCACAUAGUAAGCGCUUAACAAAUACCAACAUUAUUACUUCUCUGUGCCUCAGUUCCCUCAUCUGUAAAAUGGGGAUGAAGACUGUGAGCCUCACGAGGGACAACCUGAUUCCCCUGUGUCUACCCCAGCGCUUAGAACAGUGCUCUGCACAUAGUAAGCGCUGA
rnacentral:lncRNA from 1 species